UACGUAGGGGGGCAAGCGUUGUCCGGAUUUAUUGGGCGUAAAGAGCGUGUAGGCGGCCAGGUAGGUCAGCUGUGAAAACUCGAGGCUCAACCUCGGAGACGUCGGCGGAAACCAUCUGGCUAGAGUCCGGAAGAGGAGAGUGGGAAUUCCUGGUGUAGCGGUGAAUGACGCAGAUAUCAGGAAGAACACCCGUGGCGAAGGCGGGCGCUCUGGGACGGUACUGACGCUGAGACGCGAAAGCGUGGGGGAGCGAACAGG
rnacentral:rRNA from 1 species